UACGUAGGGGGCGAGCGUUGUCCGGAAUGACUGGGCGUAAAGGGCGUGUAGGCGGUCUGAUAAGUUUGGAGUGAAAGUCCUGCAUUCAAUGUGGGAAUAGCUUUGAAUACUGUCGGACUUGAGUGCGGAAGAGGUAAGUGGAAUUCCCAGUGUAGCGGUGAAAUGCGUAGAGAUUGGGAGGAACACCAGUGGCGAAGGCGACUUACUGGGCCGUAACUGACGCUGAGGCGCGAAAGCGUGGGGAG
rnacentral:rRNA from 1 species